GGAUCUGUCUGUCGGUCGGGCUUUAUUGUCCGCACUGAUUCGAUGGAUUCUUACCUUCUGAAUAACCAUCAUGCCAUUAAUUUGGUGCGUUGGGGAAGCAGAGCUAUUACCUUGAAAAAUUAGAGUGCUUAAAGCAGGCUAGUGCUUGAAUAGAUUAGCAUGGAAUAAUAAAAUAGGACGGCAUGGUUCUAUUUUGUUGGUUUCUAGGAUCACCGUAAUGAU
rnacentral:rRNA from 1 species